rnacentral:rRNA from 1 species
GCCAGCCGCACAGAGUUAAAAACAACUUCUCUCUUUUAUAAUGGAUACCCCCGAAGACAUUUGAAAUAUGUUUAAAUAAAUCAUUUUUUCCCCGAGUAUGGGCGACAAAAAAGGAAUUAGUUGCGCCGUAGGAAAAGUACCGUAAGGGAACGCUGAAAGAGAAAUGAAAUAAAUCAGUUAAGUUUAAAAAAGCAGAGAUUAAAUCUUGUACCUUUUGCAUAAUGGUUUAGCCAGAAAUUUUCAAGCAAAGAGCACUUUAGUUUGAUACCCCGAAACUAGGUGAGCUACUCCAAGACAGCCUAAUGCAGGGCUAACCCGUCUCUGUGGCAAAAGAGUGGGAUGAGCUUCGAGUAGCAGUGACAGGCCUAUCGAACCUAGUUAUAGCUGGUUGCCUGAGAGAUGAAUAGGAGUUCAGCUCUUCGAAUUCUUUUUUCGUAACAAAAUAAAUUGUUUCAGAUUAUAGGAGAAGUUGAAGGAGUUAGUUAAAAGGGGUACAGCCCUUUUGACAGAAGGUACAACUUUUUUAGGGGGGUAGAGAUCUUAUAUUUAGUGCUAAGGUAAAAUGUUUUGGUGGGCCUGAAAGCAGCCAUCCUUGUAGAAUGCGUUAUACCUCAUAUAUACAUUUUACCCUAAAUUUUGAUAAACCAUGUCUCAGCCCUCUAUUGGCUAUCAGGCCGCCCCAUGCAGUUAUGGGGGUGAUUAUGCUAAAAUGAGUAAUAAGAGGGUGCAUUAGCGCCCCUCUCCCGGCAUAAGUGUAACUCGGAUCGGACUGCCCGCCGAAUUUUAACGGUCCCAAAAUCAAGGAGGGUUUUGAGCAAUGAGCCCAUCAACUAGAAAACUGCUCAAUACUUUGACCGUUGAGCCUACACAGGUGUGCUUCUGAGGAAAGACUAAAUGAAAGAGAAGGAAUUCGGCAAAUGUAUUCAAGCCUCGCCUGUUUCCCAAAAACAUCGCCUCUUGUAAUCUUAAAAUAGGAGGUCCAGCCUGCCCAAAGACCAUGUGUUUAACGGCUGCGGUAUUUUAACCGUGCGAAGGUAGCGUGAUCACUUGUCUUUUAAAUGGAGACCCGUAUGAAUGGUUAAACGAGGGCUUAGCUGUCUCCUUUUUCAUGUCAAUGAAAUUGAUUUUUCCGUGCAAAGGCGGGAAUUAUCUCAUAAGACGAGAAGACCCUGUGAAGCUUUAGAUGAUAAAACAGAUCCAGUUGGCGGCUCCCUAAUAAAGGACUAAGUCACACAAUCCCUGUUUUAGCGUCUUCGGUUGGGGCGACCACGGGGAGUUAUGUAACCCCCGCGUGGACUGGGUGCAAGAAUGUUUUUGUUCCUAAAGCCGAGAGCCUCCGCUCUAACAAACAGAAUUUCUGACCUUGUAAGAUCCGGCAAUGCUGAUCAACGAACCAAGUUACUCCAGGGAUAACAGCGCCAUCCUCUUUCAGAGCCCUUAUCGACAAGAGGGUUUACGACCUCGAUGUUGGAUCAGGACAUCCUAAUGGUGUAGCCGCUAUUAAGGGUUCGUUUGUUCAACGAUUAACAGUCCUACGUGAUCUGAGUUCAGACCGGAGAAAUCCAGGUCAGUUUCUAUCUAUGACUUAAUUUUUUUCUAGUACGAAAGGACCGAAAAGAAGAGGCCCAUAUUUUUAAUACGCCUCCCUCUAACCUAUUGCAGAUAACUAAAAUAGGUGAAAGAAGAUACUUAUAUUAGGUAC